AGUCAAUCUAGUUUUUUACACAACAGAUUCAUGAUUUGUGGCAUUAAAUUGAUCAGGUGUUACCUUUUCAUGCAUUUAAAUAGUAAGAUUUUCACUUCACAUCCCAAAGGUAAGUAUAGACAUAUUCUCAGAAAUAUUUCAUUUUCUCUUACAGCUUUCAUAAAAAUACCACUAAAAGCAUUAAACAUUUGGAUGAAAACCAAGUUUCUGAAGAGCUUACAAUGGCAAGCGAUAAGGUGCCAGGCUGGAAUGCAGUGGUGCAAUCCUAGCUCUCUGUAACCUCUGCUUCCCGGGUUCAAGCAAUUCUCCUGCCUCAGCCUCCUGAGUAGCUGGGACUACAGGCAUGCGCCACCACACCCAGCUAAUUUUUGUAUUUUUUUUUUUUUUUUUUUUUUUUUUAGUAGAGAUGGGGUUUCACCAUGUUGGCCAGGAUGGUCUCGAUUUCUUGACCUUGUGAUCCGCCCGACUUGGUCUCCCAAAGUGCGGGGAUUACAGGUGUGAGCCACCGCGUCUGGCCGAUUCUUUUUUGUUUGUUUGUUUGUUUUUUGAGACGGAGUUUCGCUCUUUUCACCCAGGCUGGAGUGCAAUGGUGUGAUCUCGGCUCACCGCAACCUCCGCCUCCUGGAUUCAGGCAAAUCUCCUGCCUCAGCCUCCUGAGUAGCUGGGAUUACAGGCACAUGCCACCUUGCCCAGCUAAUUUUUUGUAUUUUUAGUAGAGACGGGGUUUCACCAUGUUGACCAGGAUGGUCUCGAUCUCUUGACCUCGUGAUCCACCUGCCUCGGCCUCCCAAAGUGCUGGGAUUACAGGCUUGAGCCACCGUGCCCGGCCCCGAUUCAAUUCUUAAUUUCUUAAAUUUUAUUUUAUUUACAAUGAAAUACUUUUGCUUACUAAUAAAAGGUUAAGAUAGUAAUACAAUUUUAC
rnacentral:lncRNA from 1 species